rnacentral:rRNA from 1 species
UACAGAGGGGGCAAGCGUUGUUCGGAAUUACUGGGCGUAAAGGGCGCGUAGGCGGCCUGUUAAGUCGAACGUGAAAUCCCCGGGCUCAACCCGGGAACUGCGUCCGAUACUGGCAGGCUUGAAUCCGGGAGAGGGAUGUGGAAUUCCAGGUGUAGCGGUGAAAUGCGUAGAUAUCGGGAGGAACACCGGUGGCGAAGGCGGUUCUCUGGGCCUUACCUGACGCUGAGGAGCGAAAGCGUGGGGAGCGAACAGG